rnacentral:lncRNA from 14 species
GGCGCGGCGGCGCCCGCUGCGCCGUGAGACCGCGGAACAGCACAGCACGGGACAGGACGGCACGGCAGAGUAAAGCACGGCGCGGCAGAGCGGGAACCCAACUGGUUUUAGAAGAAGUCAGAUUUGGUUAUGACUCUGCCUGGUACUGCGGUAUUCACCUCACCACAGCACCUUCUGCACAUUUACAGGCUGACUACUUGAAGGUGGCAGAUCUGGGUCUUCUCAUCCCAUGCCUCUUGCAAAAUAAAAGGAAGGGGAAAGAUAUCACUGGAGUGUCUCUGAUAAGGUCUGAGAAGUGCUAG